rnacentral:lncRNA from 1 species
UAUUGCGGGGAGUCCCCCGCCGACCCGUAGCAGGAUCGGGGUCGGUGCAGCGUGCCUGGUGGUUCGGGUGGAUGUGCAACAAAGGGAAAAAGGGGGCGGGGGCGCCAUGGUAUCCUCGGGGGUACCCCUGCCCGGCCGCGGCACCGCGGGCAUGGCACGGCGUCCAGGCUCUGCGAGGAGGUGUCGCCCGCGUGGGCGCCGGGCACCGUGGGCGGGUGGGCGUUGCCCUGCAGCGCGGGCUGGCACCGGUGCCCCGGGUGCAGAGUCCUCACUUGCCAAGGGAGAACUGGAGAAGUUAAAUCAGUCCACGGAUGAUAUCAACAGACGGGAGACUGAACUUGAGGAUGCUCGUCAGAAGUUCCGCUCUGUUCUGGUUGAAGCAACGGUGAAACUGGAUGAACUGGUGAAGAAAAUUGGCAAAGCUGUGGAAGACUCCAAGCCCUACUGGGAGGCACGGAGGGUGGCGAGGCAGG